ensembl:snRNA U6 U6 spliceosomal RNA
UUGAAAAACUAUUGGAUGCACAUAUACUAAAGUGGGAAUGAUUCAGAGGAAAUUGGCAUUGCUCUUGUGAAGAAUGACAUAUAGAUUUGUGAAAUGUUCCAUCUUUUU